rnacentral:rRNA from 1 species
AAACUCACCAGAUAAGACAGCUGAAUGAUAGUCGGGCUGAAGACUCUACUUGACUAGCUGAGAGGAGGUGCAUGGCCGUCGUCAGUUCGUACUGUGAAGCAUCCUGUUAAGUCAGGCAACGAGCGAGACCCACGCCAACAGUUGCCAGCUCGUCCUCCGGGAUGGUGGGGACACUGUUGGGACCGCCUCUGCUAAAGAGGAGGAAGGAAUGGGCAACGGUAGGUCAGCAUGCCCCGAAUUAUCUGGGCUACACGCGGGCUACAAUGGGUGGGACAAUGGGUAUCGACACCGAAAGGUGAAGGCAAUCUCCUAAACCCAUCCGUAGUUCGGAUUGAGGGCUGCAACUCGCCCUCAUGAAGCUGGAAUCCGUAGUAAUCGCGUUUCAACAGAACGCGGUGAAUACGUCCCUGCUCCUU